UACGUAGGCAGCGAGCGUUGUUCGGAGUUACUGGGCGUAAAGGGUGUGUAGGCGGUUGUUUAAGUUUGGGGUGAAAUCUCCCGGCUCAACUGGGAGGGUGCGCCGAAUACUGAAUGACUUCGAGUGCGGGAGAGGAGAGUGGAAUUCCUGGUGUAGCGGUGAAAUGCGUAGAUAUCAGGAGGAACACCGGUGGUGUAGACGGCUCUCUGGACCGUAACUGACGCUGAGACACGAAAGCGUGUAGCAAACAGG
rnacentral:rRNA from 1 species